UACGGAGGGUGCUAGCGUUGUUCGGAAUUACUGGGCGUAAAGCGCGCGCAGGCGGCUAUCCAAGUCAGUGGUGAAAGCCCGGAGCUCAACUCCGGAACUGCCAUUGAAACUGUUUAGCUUGAGGACGAGAGAGGUGAGUGGAAUUCCCAGUGUAGAGGUGAAAUUCGUAGAUAUUGGGAAGAACACCGGUGGCGAAGGCGGCUCACUGGCUCGUUUCUGACGCUCAGGCGCGACAGCGUGGGGAUCAAACAGG
rnacentral:rRNA from 1 species